GCGUGUUUCUUCCUUCAAAUUGGUUUAAUUUUACACUUUGUGCCAUAUCCUUUUCUCUCCACAUUGGAGCUAUUGGAACAUUAACAAUAUUGUGAGCUACAUCAUCUUCAUCUCCUGUUCCAGGAUAGAACUUAAAUCCGUUUUGCUUCCCUUUUCGUUUAUCGUUGUCAAAUAAAUGAACAGAAAAGAAAAAUAAUCUUCCUGGGUCGUCACAUUUUUUUACAAU
rnacentral:ribozyme from 13 species